rnacentral:rRNA from 1 species
UACGUAGGGCGCAAGCGUUGUCCGGAAUUAUUGGGCGUAAAGAGCUCGUAGGUGGUUUGUCACGUCGGGUGUGAAAGCUUGGGGCUUAACUCCAGGUCUGCAUUCGAUACGGGCUGGCUAGAGGUAGGUAGGGGAGAACGGAAUUCCUGGUGUAGCGGUGAAAUGCGCAGAUAUCAGGAGGAACACCGGUGGCGAAGGCGGGUCUCUGGGCCGAUACUGACGCUGAGGAGCGAAAGCGUGGGGAGCGAACAGG